rnacentral:rRNA from 1 species
CAACGCGAAGAACCUUACCUAGGCUUGACAGUCCCGGGAAUCCUGAUGAAAGUCGGGAGUGCCCGCAAGGGGAGCCCGGAGACAGGUGCUGCAUGGCUGUCGUCAGCUCGUGUCGUGAGAUGUUGGGUUAAGUCCCGCAACGAGCGCAACCCUCGCCUUUAGUUGCCAGCAUUUAGUUGGGCACUCUAAAGGGACUGCCGGUGUUAAACCGGAGGAAGGUGGGGAUGACGUCAAGUCCUCAUGGCCUUUAUGCCUAGGGCUACACACGUGCUACAAUGGGCGGUACAAAGGGUUGCAAUCCCGCGAGGGGGAGCCAAUCCCAAAAAGCCGUUCCCAGUUCGGAUUGGAGUCUGCAACUCGACUCCAUGAAGUUGGAAUCGCUAGUAAUCGUGGAUCAGCAUGCCACGGUGAAUACGUUCCCGGGCCUU